CCAUAUUAUAACUAUGGCGGGUCAUGCCUUUUAAAGGCCUCCAUUCCUAUUGCCUACCUCUCUGAGUUUUGUCAUUGAAGCGCACUCAACGUUCUCCAUUGAAGCGUUCUCCGUUGAAUCUAAUUCUUGUAUCCCCCAUCGAAGCAGCUUCUAAGGGCGGCCGCCCCUCCUGCCCUGCCUCAGGGACGGGCCUGCUGCUAAUUCAAAAAUGCUAGAGUGAAAUGGACAGAUAUUAUUACAGAAGGAUGCUGAUCAGCUAGCAUUAUUAUUUAGAUAUGGACAUAUUGUCAAUGUUCAUUAAAAAAUGUUAGGUUCAAAGUUAACUUAAGGCAUAAUAUAAGCCAAUCCCAAUUAUACAGAAGAACCUAAUUCUUUUCUAAACAAUCAGGAUGAUAUGUCAUUAAAUACAAAUAAAACAAGAUUGAGAAGACCAAACUAAAAUCACUAAUACUUAAGCCAUUAAGCAAUAAUUCAUCAUUUAUU